GCACGCAGCAGUAGGGAAUAUUGCACAAUGGAGGAAACUCUGAUGCAGCGACGCCGCGUGAGCGAUGAAGGCCUUCGGGUCGUAAAGCUCUGUUGCAGGGGAAUAAGACAGUGAAUGUACCCUGUGAGGAAGGAUCGGCUAACUUCGUGCCAGCAGCCGCGGUAAGACGAGGGAUCCUAGC
rnacentral:rRNA from 1 species